UAAAAUGCAAAAUCUCAACUUCUAAUUACCAGUUUAUUUAAUAGUGUUACUUUUACAAAAAAAUUAAGUGAGAUGAGGACAUAUAUAGAAUUUGAGGCACAAGAAAAGGAAAAACUGCAAAUUAAAUUAAAGCGUCAAAGCGAUCCUUAAUUUCUUCUUCCGGAUACAUUUCAAAGAGAGAGAACUCGUCUUCUAAGUUAAAGGACAUAUUAGCAAGGCCAUCUUCACCAAAAAAAUUCUUCCGCCCAUUCAAGAUCCAUCCUUUGACGAAAUUGUUGAACCAACCUAUGCCCCAUGACAUUUCCACCACCUACAUUUUGGAUGUGGAGAUGACAACUGAUGAAUCCACGCACACCUCUAUCUUAGCGAACCCUUAAUCUCCGGCCAGCUUUAAACCUUCAAGCACGCCCCAUAACAUAACUCUGCAACAAUGACAUUGCACCUCCCAAUAUAUUUUGAGAACUCUCCUAACCAUUCCCUGUCCACACAUCUAAUAGUCAGAGUUUUUCUAGAAUCAAACAACAGGGAUUUGUUUUAGCUAACCAUUCAUUGUUAAAAUGAUCAACAAAAAAGUAGAACUAUUGGAUUUUCAAAGAGACCAUUCUAUUUGUACGGCUAUGAUAAGAACUCAUUUAUGUGUCCAUCAAAACCAGCAACAAAUAAAAGUGUUAUUGAUGAAGAUUGUUUUGUUAUCAUGAAGUUGGUAAUUAAGAAAAUAGAUAUGUUGUUGUGACUACAAAAUAGCAAAUCAGCAUAGCAUCAUUCAUCAAUUUGGUGAAAAGAGAAAUAUUACCAAUCACUAACCGAAAGUAAUUCUUUAAAAUUGGAGAAUUUUUCAUGUUGGAGUCAUUAGCCUGAAAAUUGACAUAAAAAUUAUGAGUAACUCAGCUACAUAAAUUCAAAUCAUGUUUGUUUUACUUAAAAUAAAUCCAUAAAAAAUAAUUUCAACUCCACAUAAUUUUGAUAUAAAAAAAAAAAAAUAGAGAAAAGGGAGUUGAACAAACACACCUAAAUCUAUGCCUAAAGGCAGUAUGGAAGUUUUUCCAUUGAUUCGAAUAACAAAUAUAUACCACUUCUAAUUUAUAUACACAACCAAUGACCAUCCAAAAUAGUACCGAUAACUCAAUAAAUUAAAUAUAAAAACAACAUUUCUUAUGUUAGUUUCAUACUUGAAGGAGGUUUUUGUUUUUAUAUUUAAUCCAAAAUGAUGAAGAGAUGAAACAGAUUGAAGCAUGUAGUACACUAACUAUAUUCAAUCAAAUGAAUAUGAAAUAUAACAAAGAAUGAGAGAGAACAUCCCCCUCCAAAUUAAUUAGAAGACAAAAGUUGGUGAUGAAAGUUCCUGCAAAAAUUUAAAUAAAUCAUUAAAAAAAAUAUGAUGAAGAAGACACCAUUUUUGUUAGAAUAUGAUGCACAUUUCUAGAAUUUACUAGAAUUCAUUAGUAAGUUGUAGAAUAAUUAAUAUUUAUUAAGUGAUGUUGUAAACUUGUAGAACUUUCUACAUUACUCGUAGUUAGUAGAAUAAGUAAGUAUUAGGACAUAUCAUGAAAGAUCUAGAAUAAAGGAUCUAGAAUAUGCCAUACACGCCUAUAAAUAUGUAACCUAUGACUCAUUUGUAAUGUAUUCAAGUGGAGAGCAAUACAAUAUAUUCUUGCUCUAAGUGAUCCUCACACUACUUGCUAUUACUAUUCAACUAUCAACUACGCAUUCUACACUAUCUAACUAUUUUCUAAACUAUCACUACUACCUCAACUACUAACAGUGGCAUCAGAGCUACGUUCGAUCAUACAUUGGGCGUAGAAAUUUCAUUCAUAUAUUUCCAACCAAGCCCUCCUUAUAUCUACAUCAUUUCUAAAUUUUCCCCUAAGACAUGGCCAAUAUCUUUCAACCAUCAUCUAUGACUGUUGGAUAUUCCGCCUUCAUUGCGGUCCGCCCCCAUCUGCCUAAUUGCAGCAUUUGGGUUGCCUUCAUUGCAGCCUCCAACACCUUCAUUGUGUUGGGUGUGAAGGGGUGGGUUUAGUCCCACAUUGCUAAGAGAUAUGGCCUGUGUAACGUUUAUAUAACUUGGGCAACCCUCACCUUACAAGCCGGUUUUGUGAGGAUGAGUUAGGCCAAAUAUAAAAUUUGACAAUGACUAUGACUAUCCCUAUCUUUAAUGGUGAAAACUAUGAUUUUUGGAGCAUUAAAAUAAAGACAUUUUUUUUCUCUCAAGAUUUAUGGGAUAUUGUAGAUGAAGGAUUUACUAUUCCAGAAGAUCUUUCAACUCUCAAUGCUAAUCAGAAAAAAGAGUUGAAAGAAAAUAAACAAAAAGAUUCAAAGGCACUAUUCUUUCUAAAACAAGCGGUAGAAGAUAGUAUCUUUCCGAGAAUAAUGGGAGCUACAAGUGCCAAAGAUGCAUGCGGUACAUUGAAGGAGGAGUUUCAAGGAAGUAUAAGAUACGUGCUAUUAAACUUCAAACUCUAAGGCGUGAGUUUGAAUUAAUAAAAAUGAAAGAGUCUGAGACCGUAAAAGACUACUAUACUAAAAUAAAAGAAUUAGUGAGUCAAAUGAGAUCAUACGGGGAUAAUAUUAUCGACAAAAGAAUUGUUGAGAAAAUUCUAAUUUCGAUUCCUCGUAAGUAUGAUGCAAUCGUGACUACGAUUGAACAAACCAAAGAUCUAUCUACUAUGUCGGUGACAGAAUUAAUAGGCUCACUAGAAGCUUAUGAACAAAGAUUGAGUAGGCAUGAUGACAAUACAUUUGAAAAUGCCAUUCAAUCAAAGCUCAAAUUACGGUCUCAUGAUGAUAGAAGAUAUGGAGGAAAGAAAAAUCAAGAUGAGUAUCCUCCAUGUGGCAUAUGCAAGAGGACAAAUCACGCCGAAAAAUAUUGUUGAUGGCGCGGAAAAGAGCAAUGUCGACACUGUAAGAAAUUUGGACAUGUGGAGAAAAAUUGUUACAGCAAAAAUAAGCAUCAAGCAAAUUUCGUUGAAGAGCACGAGUGUGAGCAUGAUCAACAUGAAUAUGAGCAAUAUAUUUUCUAUGCUACACAAGGUUCCAAUGAUGAAUUGAGCAAAAAUUGGUACUUGGAUAGUGGUUGCAGCAAUCAUAUGGCCAAAGACGAGAGCAUCUUCAAGGAUAUUGAUGACUCCGUCAAAGUAAAAGUUCGAUUGGGAAAUGGCACCGUCGUGGAAUCUAAAGGCAAAGACACUGUGAUGGUGGANNNNNNNNNNNNNNNNNNNNNNNNNNNNNNNNNNNNNNNNGUACGAGAUUCAUCAAAGAUAUCUUGCUAGUUCCCCUCAAAGAAAAUCUAUUGAGUAUUGGUCAAAUGAUGGAGAAAGGCUAUAUUCUUCACUUUGAAGGAGACACAUGUUCAAUAUAUGACAAUAAAAGACACGAGAUAGCCAAAGUAAAAAUGGAGAAAAGAAAUAGAAGCUCUCCAAUAAACUUCAAAUAUACUCUAAAACCACAAUCAAACAUAGAAGAUAUGAAAGAAGCACUAGAAGAAUCGGGUAUGCCACCUUCACCUCCUCAACAAGAAAUUUCUCCGACAAGAAUAAAAUCAUUGGUGGAUAUAUAUAUGAAACUUGCAACUUUUCCAUGCUUGAUUCUAAAAGUUAUCAAGUGGCGUCAAAACAACAACUAUGGACAAAAGACAAUCAAGAAAAACUUCCAAGACUAAGAAAACCUUUAUAUGGANNNNNNNNNNNNNNNNNNNNNNNNNNNNNNNNNNNNNNNNUUCGGAUAGAACAAGUUUUGAGCAACGAUGAACUAUGGUUAGAGUUACCGAAAUAUGCAUCAAGGAGGAGUGUUAGAAUAUGAUGCACAUUUCUAGAAUUUACUAGAAUUCGUAAGUUGUAGAAUAAUUAAUAGUUAUUAAGUGAUGUUGUAAACUUGUAAAACUUUCUAGAUUACUUGAGUAGUUAGUAGAAUAAGUAAGUAUUAGGACAUAUCAUGAAUGAUCUAGAAUAAGGGAUCUAGAAUAUGCCAUCCACACCUAUAAAUAUGUAACCUAUGGCUCAUUUGUAAUGUAUUCAAGUGGAGAGCAAUACAAUAUAUUCUUGAUCUAAGUGAUCCUCACACUACUUGCUACUACUAUUCAACUAUCAACUACGCAUUCUACACUAUCUAACUAUUUUCUAAACUAUCACUAGUACCUCAACUACUAACAAUUUUUAUAAAUACCUGAAAGUCAAUGAUUCAUAAAACACAAAUAAUUACUAUCUUUAUAAAUACCAUCUAUUUCCUUAUGGUGUAGUACAAAAAAUUAUAUUCAAUCAAAUGACAAAAUAAUGUUUCCUUGUUUCAAAAGUAGUAGACACGUAUAAAGUGCUCAAAUUCUCAAUUAGUUAGAACUCCAUUGAUUGAGAACAUGGUUUGUUGAGAAUAGUCAUAGCCUUGAGCAAAAAGUGAAGUUAAAGAUUUGGAAUUUCAAAUUUACAAAGCAGAAAAAAUCAUACAUGAAUAUAAGCAUUGAAAACCAUUUACCUCAUUAACAUUAAUAUCUGCAGCAACCAUAUGAAAACUUCUUGUGACAAUCUUUGAGACUAAGACAGCCCCUUUUUCAACUCAAACAUUGUCUGUAAAAGGUUUUUAAACCUACUACUUCAGCAUGCUAAAUUAAUAAAAACAAAUCAAUAAGAGGCAAAAUAUUAUCCCAUGAGGAAGAGGCCAAUGUAUAGUUCAUAAAUAAAUAAAUAAAUAAAUAAAAUAAGCUUUCAUAUAGUUUCUGCAAAAACUUUAAAUAAAUCAUUAAAAAAAAUAUAACGGAGAAGAGACCGUUUGAUGCGUUGAC
rnacentral:lncRNA from 1 species